rnacentral:lncRNA from 1 species
CGCGGUUGCCCAACGUUUAUAUAAUUGUGUUCUUGCUUGUUGCUAGCACUAUUUUAAUAUCGUGUGGCUUUCAUUGUUCCUUGCAAGGUACUCACUUAGCUGACUUGCUUGGUAGCAAGUGCUGCACGGUUCGCUUUGCACAUUGCAAAGUUCGGCCGUGACACUCUGCCAAGUCUGAAACCCCAGCUGAAGCCUAAAACCCUCCCCAUGUUCCUCACCAAGCUCUCCCGCCUAAACCCAAACCCACUCGCCCUCAUUUCCACGCGCCACCUCUCCACCCUCCACGACCGCUACUCCUUCAAACCCCCACCCUCCCUUUCCCCGAACCCCAAGACCACCCCAACCCUAACCCUAAUUUCAAGAAGAAGCAGAAGCCCCGGUACAGUCCGCCGUCGUCUCUCGAUCGCGAGGGUCAGGAGCCGAUACAUUCCGAUUUGCCGUUCGAUUUCAGGUACAGCUACACCGAGAGCAGCCCGGAAGCGCGGCCCAUUGGGCUGCGGGAGCCCAAGUACUCGCCUUUUGGGCCGGGGCGGUUGGACCGGCCGUGGAUCGGGGUCUGUGCCCCGGCCGUGGACCCGAAGGUGAGGUCCGUGGAGGGAACGGAGGAGGAGGACCUGAAGUUGGAGGAGGAGAGGAGGAGGAGGCGAGAAGCGGUCCAGGGAGAGCCGCUCAGUUCGG